rnacentral:rRNA from 1 species
UACGUAGGGCGCAAGCGUUGUCCGGAAUUAUUGGGCGUAAAGAGCUCGUAGGCGGCUUGUCGCGUCGGAUGUGAAAGCCCGGGGCUUAACCCCGGGUCUGCAUUCGAUACGGGCAGGCUAGAGUUCGGUAGGGAAGAUCGGAAUUCCUGGUGUAGCGGUGAAAUGCGCAGAUAUCAGGAGGAACACCGGUGGCGAAGGCGGAUCUCUGGGCCGAUACUGACGCUGAGGAGCGAAAGCGUGGGGAGCGAACAGG